rnacentral:rRNA from 1 species
UAAGGAAUAUUGGACAAUGGGCGCAAGCCUGAUCCAGCAAUGCCGCGUGCAGGAUGAAGGCCUUCGGGUUGUAAACCGCUUUUGUACGGAGCGAAAAGGUCUGCCCUAAUACGGUGGGCUCAUGACGGUACCGUAAGAAUAAGCACCGGCUAACUACGUGCCAGCAGCCGCGGUAAUACGUAGGGUGCGAGCGUUAAUCGGAAUUACUGGGCGUAAAGCGUGCGCAGGCGGUUAUAUAAGACAGAUGUGAAAUCCCCGGGCUCAACCUGGGACCUGCAUUUGUGACUGUAUAGCUAGAGUACGGUAGAGGGGGAUGGAAUUCCGCGUGUAGCAGUGAAAUGCGUAGAUAUGCGGAGGAACACCGAUGGCGAAGGCAAUCCCCUGGACCUGUACUGACGCUCAUGCACGAAAGCGUGGGGAGCAAACA